UACGGGGGGGGCAAGCGUUGUUCGGAAUUACUGGGCGUAAAGGGCGCGUAGGCGGCCUGCUAAGUCGGAUGUGAAAUCCCUCGGCUCAACCGAGGAACUGCAUCCGAUACUGGCGGGCUUGAAUCCGGGAGAGGGAUGUGGAAUUCCAGGUGUAGCGGUGAAAUGCGCAGAUAUCAGGAGGAACACCGGUGGCGAAGGCGGAUCUCUGGGCCUUACCUGACGCUGAGGCGCGAAAGCUAGGGGAGCAAACAGG
rnacentral:rRNA from 1 species